rnacentral:rRNA from 1 species
AUGGCUAACAGCCUUUCGACUAAUCUCACUGGUUGUCACUUAUUCUUCCAGAUUUUUGUGCUUGACAACGUUGACCUUGGCAUUUUCAAUAAACCGCAUAAUGUGCUUCCAAGGAUCGCCGAUUUCGACCCUGAUUCACUCCGUAAAAUGCUCACCAUGGCUCUUGACCCCGUCAAGGGAGCUACGUCGUAUUCACAUGCCAAUCUAAGAGACGCGUCAACGGUGUGUUACAUGCGUUCUAAGGUACAAGUGAAUGCCCCGUCAUCAUCAACCAGCAAGAGGGUGCAUAGGUGUGCAAAGACACCGGUUGCAGUGUCCAUGGUUAACACCACAACUCCUGUUCAUGUCUAUACAAGUCAUGCAUGCAACGACAGCGCCGCACACUCCAACAAGGCUGCACCUGGGCCACUAGAAUUUGCACACUACUUACGGGAGAAGUACCCGCAUCUCGUAGCCGAUGAGUUAACGAUGAUGCUAAAACAUCAGAAUUCAAGGAUGAUAAUGCAGUUGACACAGGCUGGCAACUCCAUAUAG